UCGGAUAUGAGUAGAGCGGCGGACGGGUGAGUAACGCGUAGGAAUCUACCUAGUAGAAGGGGAUAGUCCGGGGAAACCCGGAUUAAUACCGUAUACCUCCUUCGGGAGAAAGAAGGCCUCUCUUUGAAGCUUUCGCUAUUAGAUGAGCCUGCGUAAGAUUAGCUUGUUGGUGAGGUAAAGGCUCACCAAGGCGACGAUCUUUAGCUGGUCUGAGAGGACGAUCAGCCACAUUGGGACUGAGACACGGCCCAGACUCCUACGGGAGGCAGCAGUGGGGAAUAUUGGACAAUGGGCGCAAGCCUGAUCCAGCCAUACCGCGUGUGUGAAGAAGGCCUUCGGGUUGUAAAGCACUUUAAGCAGGGAGAAAAAGUUAUAAGUUAAUACCUUAUAACCGUGAUGUUACCUGCAGAAUAAGCACCGGCUAAUUCCGUGCCAGCAGCCGCGGUAAUACGGAAGGUGCAAGCGUUAAUCGGAAUUACUGGGCGUAAAGCGCGCGUAGGUGGUUUGUUAAGUUGGAUGUGAAAGCCCUGNGCU
rnacentral:rRNA from 1 species